CGACCGGCGCACGGGUGAGUAACGCGUAUCCAACCUGCCUUACACUCUUGGACAGCCUUCUGAAAGGGAGAUUAAUACAAGAUGUUAUCAUGAGUAAGCAUUUUCACAUGAUUAAAGGUUUACCGGUGUAAGAUGGGGAUGCGUUCCAUUAGAUAGUAGGCGGGGUAACGGCCCACCUAGUCAACGAUGGAUAGGGGUUCUGAGAGGAAGGUCCCCCACAUUGGAACUGAGACACGGUCCAA
rnacentral:rRNA from 1 species